rnacentral:rRNA from 1 species
GGUGCUGCAUGGCUGUCGUCAGCUCGUGUCGUGAGAUGUUGGGUUAAGUCCCGCAACGAGCGCAACCCUGCAUUCAGUUGCCAUCGGGUGAAGCCGGGCACUCUGGAAGGACUGCCAUCGACAAGAUGGAGGAAGGUGGGGACGACGUCAAGUCAUCAUGGCCCUUAUGUCCAGGGCGACACACGUGCUACAAUGGCCGGCACAACGGGAAGCGAGUUCGCGAGGACGAGCGGAUCCCUUAAAGCCGGUCGCAGUUCGGAUUGAAGUCUACAACUCGACUUCAUGAAGCUGGAAUCGCUAGUAAUCGCAGAUCAGCCAAGCUGCGGUGAAUACGUUCCCGGGCCUU